GACGAACGCUGGCGGCGUGCUUAACACAUGCAAGUCGUACGGUAAGGCCCUUUCGGGGGUACACGAGUGGCGAACGGGUGAGUAACACGUGAGUAACCUGCCCACAACUUUGGGAUAACGCUAGGAAACUGGUGCUAAUACUGGAUAUGUGCUCCUGCUGCAUGGUGGGGGUUGGAAAGCUCCGGCGGUUGUGGAUGGACUCGCGGCCUAUCAGCUUGUUGGUGGGGUAGUGGCCUACCAAGGCGGCGACGGGUAGCCGGCCUGAGAGGGUGACCGGCCACAUUGGGACUGAGAUACGGCCCAGACUCCUACGGGAGGAAGCAGUGGGGAAUAUUGCACAAUGGGCGCAAGCCUGAUGCAGCAACGCCGCGUGCGGGAUGACGGCCUUCGGGUUGUAAAACGCUUUCAGCAGGGACGAAGCUUUUUGUGACGGUACCUGCAGAAGAAGCACCGGCUAACUACGUG
rnacentral:rRNA from 1 species